GCUACGGGCGGCAGCAGUGAGGAAUAUUGGUCAAUGGACGAAAGUCUGACCCAGCCAUGCCGCGUGCAGGAAGACGGCUCUAUGAGUUGUAAACUGCUUUUGUACGAGGGUAAACGCAGAUACGCGUCUCUGUCUGACAGUAUCGUACGAAUAAGGAUCGGCUAACUCAGUGCCAGCAGCCGCGGUAAUACGGAGGAUUAAAGCGUUAUCCGGAUUUAUUGGGUUUAAAGGGUGCGUAGGCGGUCGGAUAAGUUAGAGGUGAAAUCCAGAGGCUCAACUUCGGAAUGGCCUCUGAUACUGUGCGGCUAGAGAGUAGAUGCGGUAGGCGGAAUGUAUGGUGUAGCGGUGAAAUGCUUAGAGAUCAGACAGAACACCGAUUGCGAAGGCAGCUUACCAAGCUACUUCUGACGUUGAGGCACGAAAGCGUGGGGAGCAAACAGGAUUAGAUACCCCAGUAGUC
rnacentral:rRNA from 1 species